rnacentral:rRNA from 1 species
AUUGAACGCUGGCGGCAUGCUUUACACAUGCAAGUCGAACGGCAGCGCGGGCUUCGGCCUGGCGGCGAGUGGCGAACGGGUGAGUAAUGCAUCGGAACGUGCCCAGUAGUGGGGGAUAGCCCAGCGAAAGCCGGAUUAAUACCGCAUACGACCUGAGGGUGAAAGCGGGGGACCGAAAGGCCUCGCGCUAUUGGAGCGGCCGAUGUCGGAUUAGCUAGUUGGUGGGGUAAAGGCUUACCAAGGCGACGAUCCGUAGCUGGUCUGAGAGGACGACCAGCCACACUGGGACUGAGACACGGCCCAGACUCCUGCGGGAGGCAGCAGUGGGGAAUUUUGGACAAUGGGGGCAACCCUGAUCCAGCCAUGCCGCGUGCGGGAAGAAGGCCUUCGGGUUGUAAACCGCUUUUGUUCGGGAAGAAAUCCUCUGGGCUAAUACCCCGGGGGGAUGACGGUACCGGAAGAAUAAGCACCGGCUAACUACGUG